AAGGGUCAGACCACGGGAUUGUUUUCCACUUUGGGCUUUUACACAGCAGUUUUGAAGACAAAAGGGCUUUUCAGCUAGGUUUGGUUCACCGUUCCCCUCCUCCCAGGCCCAAGCUUGGUCCCCAAUGUCCCCAGCAAUGCUUUGGACGUCCCUCACUUUGCUGUUUUUUUGGGGGGCCACUGCCCACCCCUAGGUUGCGUGCUGUCCCUCCUAGAGAGAGGUGGAUGGCCAUGACAUUCCAGGGAGGAAAAAGGGAGGGGCGAAGGGGCAACGACACCCUUCUAAAGUUUCACCCCAGAAAGGCAUCCCACUCUGCCCAGGAGGCGCCCUCAGGCUACAACCUUCCCGUGAGCCUCCUCCCUUUGCCCCGCCCCUCAGCACGGGGGAGGGGCGCUGUGCAGCCGGCGCUCUCUGAUUGCCUGCCGCGUCAGGGUUCCACGCCGGGAUUGUGCUGUGGGCAGCUGUCGGCGCCUGCGUGCACAACGUGGAGAACCAGCGUUGGGAGUUGCUGGAAGUUGGAGGCGAGGGAGCGGUCACUCGCAAUGAGCGCGGGCGGCACUGGGCGCAAGGUGGAGAGCAGUCCCUAGUCUAAGACUUUCCGUCGCCCUCCGGCACCGCCAGUACCACGGACUCCACCCUGCCGCGGCCCCUCGGCGAUGCGGUGCAGCUGCCACUCGACCAACACCGAUGGAAAGGAAGGAGGCUGGAUGAUGAGUGGCUUCCCUGGAUACCAAGCUGUUCGUGUCAGGACUGUCAGGGCUGCAUGCCCUUGGCCUGCUGCAGCAGCGGGGCUGGCUGUGGACCGAAUCCCUGAGUAUCCCGUAUGGCCUCCCGGGUGUCCCACCAGAUGCUGUCCCGGGCUGAGGUUAAGUUCUCAUGGGCACUGAAGAGGCUCUGCAAAGCCCUGCUUGACCUGUAUGGCCUCACAGCCAGGCGGUGCAGAAGCCGGCUACAGGCUGGGUGUGGCCCACCGCUCAUCGUUUACCACCACUGAGCCAUACCUUAGGUGGCAAAUGCUUGAGAUGGAACAUUGGUGAGACGGUGAGCUGGGGAUCCUAUGGUGUGGCCAUGGCCAGCUUUGAGUAGAAGAUUAUAAGACCUGGCCCAGCAGUGCAGCCAAGGGCGGUGCUGGGAUGACGAGCUCUGGGCUCCCGAGAAGCUUGCCUGUGGCUCAGGCAUAUCCGCUGGCCUUCUGGACACCAGCGACAACGAAGCAGGCACCGAUCUGAUGUUGCCGGACGGCUCUGUGGCUCACAGCCUGGAGGAGCUCAGCCUGGCCUGGCAAGUGGAUGGUGACUGCAGGGCCACCGAGAAGCCUGAGCCAACCUGCCCAGGACAGAGCCCCUCCCGCCGGCCUUCUUCCAGGACCCCUCAUCCAGCUUGGGGAACUGCUUCCGGGUGGGGCCGAGUAUCUGCAAGGGAGACCACAUUUUUGCUCUGUGAAAGACUCAAUUCGGAGUAUGAAAAGGUAAGCUACAGAUUGGGAAAAAUGUUUACAAACCACCUAUUAGACCAAGAACCCAUCUUAAGAGACUCAUCUCUACAAUACAUAAAUAACUCAAAGCUCAAAAGUAGGCCACAGUUGUAUUCCCAGCACUUUGUGAGGCUGAGGUGAGAUGGCUCGAAGCCGGGAGCUGAAGGCUGCAUGACAGAGUGAGAGCUUGUCUCACAAAACAAAACCUCCAAAGUAAAAAAUGGUAAAUAAACACAUCAACCAUGUUUGCACUCCCAGUCAUAGAGAAACAAGGUAGCGCUACAUAUCUGAGCUCGAGUGAGUUCCGGCACGGGUCGGUGAGUCGCAGGGACUCUGCGGCAUAAAGCAUCAGUCGAACAUCCAAACGGCCAGGUUGUGAUGACAGCAUCCACCGAUGAGUGCACUAUAAAAAGCACUGUUCUAGUAUCAAAACGGUGGUGGCUGCUGUUCCCAGCAGCUAGCCUUAGGCUUAGAGGCAGGAAUCGAGGUCACGGUCUACCAAACAAAUCCUCUCAGGAAAGAGCAUCGUACUCCUGAAGUGCCAAGACAGGAGGUGGUGUGGCUCCACGGGAAUUUUGGAGCAUCUGGGGAUCAAGCAGAAGCACUCAUUGUUCUGACCAUGUAAAUACAAAACCGUCACCUAGUACAUCCAUAAACAGAACGUCUGGGACGACAGGCAUCUCAUAAGAUUUCUAGCCACAGGGUAACAAUAAAGAAUUGUCUGCAGUUAAGGUCCUCGGUCUCCCUCUUUGGGUCAGUCAGGCUGUUUGAUUAUUUCUUUCUUUCUUUAUUGAGAUGCAGCCUUGCUCUGCUGUCCAGGUAGAAGCGCCGUGAAUCUAUCUCAGCUCACUAAAACUUUCUCC